AAACCAUGAUGGGGACAAAAUCGAAUCAUUUCUUUGAAACGCUCCCAAGCAUCGGAAAGAGACUCCCCAUAUUUCUAAGUGAAUCGUGUAAUUUGAUUCCUCAAUUU